UACGUAGGGCGCAAGCGUUAUCCGGAAUUAUUGGGCGUAAAGAGCUCGUAGGCGGUUUGUCGCGUCUGCCGUGAAAGUCCGGGGCUCAACUCCGGAUCUGCGGUGGGUACGGGCAGACUAGAGUGAUGUAGGGGAGACUGGAAUUCCUGGUGUAGCGGUGAAAUGCGCAGAUAUCAGAGGAACACCGAUGGCGAAGGCAGGUCUCUGGGCCGGAACUGACACUGAGGAGCGAAAGCGUGGGUAGCAAACAGG
rnacentral:rRNA from 1 species